rnacentral:rRNA from 1 species
CCUACGGGUGGCAGCAGUGGGGAAUAUUGGGCAAUGGGCGCAAGCCUGACCCAGCAACGCCGCGUGAAGGAAGAAGGCUUUCGGGUUGUAAACCUCUUUUUUCAGGGACGUAGCAAGUGACGGUACCUGAUGAAUAAGCCACGGCUAACUACGUGCCAGCAGCCGCGCCAAUACGUAGGUGGCAAGCGUUAUCCGGAUUUACUGGGUGUAAGGGGUGUGUAGGCGGGAGUGCAAGUCAGCUGUGAAAACUAUGGGCUCAACCCAUAGACUGCAUUUGAAACUGUACUUCUUGAGUGCUGGAGAGGCAAGCGGAAUUCGGGGUGUAGCGGUGAAAUGCGUAGAUAUACGGAAGAACACCAGUGGCGAAGGCGGAUUGCUGGAGAGUAACUGACGCUGAGGCGCGAAAGCGUGGGGAGCAAACAGGAUUAGAUACCCCUGUAGUC